rnacentral:rRNA from 1 species
UCUUGGUCAUUUAGAGGAAGUAAAAGUCGUAACAAGGUUUCCGUAGGUGAACCUGCGGAAGGAUCAUUAACCGUUACAAACAGUGUGUGCUGCGGCCCCCGAGGUGAGGCAACGAGCCUUCGGGAGGUCUGGGGUCCGCCCCUUCACGCGCACGCGUCUGCCAUCCUUACUUUACGAGCACCUUCUGUUCUCCCUCGGCAUGCGUCCUGCGCUGCCGUUGGACUACAAAACUCUUUUUUGCAUCUAGCAUUACCUGUUCCGACAAUAACAAUCGUUACAACUUUCAACAAUGGAUCUCUUGGCUCUGGCAUCGAUGAAGAACGCAGCGAAAUGCGAUAAGUAGUGUGAAUUGCAGAAUUCAGUGAAUCAUCGAAUCUUUGAACGCACAUUGCGCCCCUCGGUAUUCCGUGGGGCAUGCCUGUUCGAGCGUCAUCUACACCCUCAAGCUCUGCUUGGUGUUGGGCGUUGUCCCGCCUCGGCGCGCGGACUCGCCCCAAAUGCAUUGGCAGCGGUCUUUGCCUCCUCUCGCGCAGCACAUUGCGCUUCUCGAGGUGUCGCGGACACGCGUCCAGUAAGCAACAUUUACCG